UACGGGGGGAGCAAGCGUUGUUCGGAUUUACUGGGCGUAAAGGGCGCGUAGGCGGCCUCCGCAAGUCAGUUGUGAAAUCUCCGAGCUUAACUCGGAAAGGUCAACUGAUACUGCGGGGCUAGAGUGCGGAAGGGGCAACUGGAAUUCUUGGUGUAGCGGUGAAAUGCGUAGAUAUCAAGAGGAACACCUGCGGCGAAGGCGGGUUGCUGGGCCGACACUGACGCUGAUGCGCGAAAGCUAGGGGAGCGAACGGG
rnacentral:rRNA from 1 species